GGCUCCGUGGCGUAAUGGUGGCGCGUCGGAUUCCAAAGAAGAAAGCAUCCGAAGGCUGUGGGUUCAAUCCCCACCGGGGUCA
rfam:Volvox carteri f. nagariensis unplaced genomic scaffold VOLCAscaffold_51, whole genome shotgun sequence.